GACGGGGGGUCCUAGCGUUGUUCGGAAUUAUUGGGCGUAAAGCGUGUGCAGGUUGUUUGAAAAGUUGGAUGUGAAAUCCUUGGGCUUAACCCAAGACGUGCAUUUAAAACUGCCAAACUUGAGUAUGGAAGAGGAUCGUGGAAUUCCUAGUGUAGUGGUGAAAUACGUAGAUAUUAGGAGGAACACCGGUGGCGAAGGCGGCGAUCUGGUCCAAUACUGACACUCAUACACGAAAGCGUGGGGAUCAAACAGG
rnacentral:rRNA from 1 species